CGCACAUUGCGCCUCUUGGUAUUCCUCGAGGCAUGCCUAUUCGAGCGUCGUUUCGACCCUCAAGCGCGAGCUUGGUGUUGGGGAGCGCCACCGGCGAGACGGUGGCGGCCCUUGAAUCCAUCGGCGGUGCCGGUGCGGCCUGGAGCGCAGCAGUCAUGCGGCUCUCAAGCCCUCUGGAACCCGCCGGAAGAACGUGCGCCCUCUGACGGGGGCCAUUUCUCUCACGUCGACCUCGAAUUAGGUAGGGAUACCCGCUGAACUUAA
rnacentral:misc_RNA from 1 species